AAUAUCAACAUUUUGUUCCUGGAACUUCUGAACCAUAGCAAAAUUUGAUGUUCGCAGAUUUAAUGGAGCUAUUCAUUUAAUAUUUGCUGUUGAUGUCUUAUAUCUAUCAAGUCAUUCGUUUGCACACCGCAGGUUUAUGGCUUUCGGGAUGGUGUUGUGUAUUACUUUCUGCUCUUGUGAACAUUGGACAAUGUUCAUAAAAGUUCGUUUGCAGUAAGAUGACGAGAGGAUUUGUUUAACACUUAUAUUGGGAAACCUCUACCAGCAACAUUUGUGGACAGGCAAAGGGUGACAGUUAUAUAGAUGUGAAUUCUGACUGAGGGAGAUAGAUGUCAUGGAAAGUGUUCAGGAAACCCUACAGUUAUUGUCUCUGUACCGAUAGAGAUGGAUCUCCAAUAAAAACUUCGAAUAGAUUAGGUAUGGUUUUGAUGAUCAUUUGAAAUGCUAAUGUUCCACGAGUAAGGCUCAUCCAUGAGCAGAAGAAAAUUCAUUGAAUUUAUUGACAUUAUCUACAAAAUAUAUCUCUCACAACGACCAAAGCACUUAUUGUUUCAUUUUGCUUCAUAUUUUAAUUGCAUCCAACCGAGCGUUCCUGAAAAAUUUCGAUGCGAUAUCAACAGUUAGUCAUGGUGAUGUUGGAAAAUGACAAACAUGAUGGUAAUUUUACGUUUAAUUUCGUUUGUGCUUCAAAGUUAUGUUCUGAGUAGACCCGUAUGUAUUUCAGUCUGAAAUUAUUUUAUUUUUCAUGAUAUAAUGUUGAAUUUCGCAUGGAAAGUUUCUGGAAUGGUUUGUUUGGUGCACCUAAUUUAGUUUUUUUUUGUUUAUCAGAGGUUUUUUUAUUCGAAAAAAUUCAGCUUCAUUUUAAUAAUAGUAUUAAUAAAAUGAAUUGAUAUGGAUUAUCUACUAACUGUAGUUGAAAUAUACCUAUAGAAAUGGAAUGAUACAUUAAAGCUCUAAACAUCGAUUCUUUGUCACGGUUCGUCUCGAAUGCGAUUACUUUACUAGCACAAACUUCCACAAAAGCUUUUAUCUAUCCGCAAUAUCGCAGUUCGAACGAAGCUACUCCUUUCGUGGUUCCAAUGCUUUCCUUAAGCUCCAUCUGACAUCGCAUUGAUAUCUCUUUACAUGUUACAAAUAUCCAACAGAUCGUCAAAAAAUUUCUCUCUAUUUUCUUUGGGUUUGGCUUGCAUAUCCAAAUUUUAGAAUAUAUUCUUCAACACUGAUUUAAUUACACACUAACCAUUUUCUAUGUUACCGUCGAGAUACGUCUACCACUGUCAACUAGCACAUUGAGCCUGAACAAUUUUAUCGCGAUAAUAUGUGCGUAGAUAUUUCCCUUUAGUCUACCGCUUUGACUAUUACGCUAACGUUACACUUAUCGAAUCUUGCUUCAGUUCGUUGAUUUAAUUUCAAAAUGAGUCGUCAGUUAUCAAAGUGCAAUUGUGUCGCUUUUGAGCAAUCAUCACAUUUCAUUCUUUGAUUAUACAAACAACAGCAACUUUGAGUAGUAAGGACCGUCCUACUCUGGCCUAUCAGUAUCUAGUAUUCAGUAUUUGGUACAAAACGCUGCUCAAAUUGUUGCUGGCUAAAUUUGGAAUUACUCGUACCAUGACCCCACAGUUAUGGAUCAAAUAGUGUGAAGUUCAACCAAUAAAA